UCCUCUGUAGUUCAGUCGGUAGAACGGCGGACUGUUGAUCCGUAUGUCACUGGUUCGAGUCCAGUCAGAGGAGCCA
rnacentral:tRNA from 5 species